rnacentral:rRNA from 1 species
GAUGAACGCUGGCGGCGUGCCUAAUACAUGCAAGUCGAGCGAACAGACGAGGAGCUUGCUCCUCUGACGUUAGCGGCGGACGGGUGAGUAACAUGUGGAUAACCUACCUUUAAGACUGGGAUAACUUCGGGAAACCGGUGCCAAUACCGGAUAAUAUAUUGAACCGCAUGGUUCAAUAGUGAAAGACGGUUUUGCUGUCACUUAUAGAUGGAUCCGCGCCGCAUUAGCUAGUUGGUAAGGUAACGGCUUACCAAGGCAACGAUGCGUAGCUGACCUGAGAGGGUGAUCGGCCACACUGGAACUGAGACACGGUCCAGACUCCUACGGGAGGCAGCAGUAGGGAAUCUUGCGCAAUGGGCGAAAGCCUGACGGAGCAACGCCGCGUGAAUGAAGAAGGUCUUCGGGUCGUAAAACUCUGUUAUUGGGGAAGAACGAAUUAAUAAGUAACUAUGCACGUCUUGACGGUACCUGAUCAAGAAGCCACGGCUAACUACGUG